CACACUGCGCAGCAUCGGAACAUCGUGACGUUGAGAUCUGCGCUGUUUGCGUCACUUACUCACUCACUCGCGCGCGCGCACACAUGCACACACACACAAGGACAGCGUUUGUGAAAAAGGAAACAAUGCAUCCACACUGACGGAGUGUUUUCGGGAUGGAUUUUGGCUAACUAUCAGCGGCUUCAUGCGCAAAAUCCGAACGUUUUAUUUUGUUUUGUUAGUGAAGUGAUGCAAAGGUGAAAAAGUGUUGUGGAGAAGUUGUUCGGACACGAGGCUCCGGUGAUCGAUAUUGCGCCAGUUACAGUUGAGCGCUUUAACGAGACACCGAUCGGCAGAUGAGAGCAACAUAUCGCCUUUCAGGUGCUUUUACGCGCAGCCGCCGCUGCACGAGCUGGAGGAAGGAUACAGUGUAACGGAGUGCGGUGAAGGAGAGAGAGAGGGAUGGUGGCGGAGAUGGCGAGCUGCGGAGCGGCAUGUCACUUGGAGGACGGAGAAGCAGACACCCCUGCACCUGAAAACAAAGAUAAUCUGACAGAAGGUGAGAGCAGUAGUUCAGAUAACACGGGAACGUCCACUGACGAGAGCUCAGAGGAAGAUGAUGAGGAUGAAGAGGAGGAUGACGACUCCGGCUGUGCUGAGAAGGAUG